GACGAACGCUGGCGGCGUGCUUAACACAUGCAAGUCGAACGGAAAGGCCCUGCUUGCAGGGUACUCGAGUGGCGAACGGGUGAGUAACACGUGGGUGAUCUGCCCUGCACUUCGGGAUAAGCCUGGGAAACUGGGUCUAAUACCGGAUAGGAGCCAUUUUUAGUGUGAUGGUUGGAAAGUUUUUUCGGUGUAGGAUGAGCUCGCGGCCUAUCAGCUUGUUGGUGGGGUAAUGGCCUACCAAGGCGGCGACGGGUAGCCGGCCUGAGAGGGUGGACGGCCACAUUGGGACUGAGAUACGGCCCAGACUCCUACGGGAGGCAACAGUGGGGAAUAUUGCACAAUGGGCGCAAGCCUGAUGCAGCGACGCCGCGUGGGGGAUGACGGCCUUCGGGUUGUAAACUCCUUUCGCUAGGGACGAAGCUUUUUGUGACGGUACCUAGAUAAGAAGCACCGGCUAACUACG
rnacentral:rRNA from 1 species